UGUGGGACUGCGAUGGUGUGACA
rnacentral:siRNA from 1 species